UUUCACGUCACAGUUAAAUGAUACUUUUACCUAAAGCAGCCUGGCAGCUGAACGAAUUUACGGAGUAGGUGGGUUGUACCCAGGUCAACUAUCUCUCUAAAGAAAAUCGGAGCAGAAUAUCUCCAGAGGUUCUGAACCAGCAGUGCUCAGAAUCGCUGUUUAUCGAUUCUGGAUGGAAAACUGGAGAAAUUGCGUAGCCUUGAGGACCAGUAUCCAAGAUGAGAUUCAUGGUAUUUUUAGAAGCGGAGCGUACAGCUGGAGCCUCGCUGCUGUUGGCACUCUCACCCUCUGCGUGUCUCUCCUCCGCUCGUUCGGACCCGGCCGGAGCUUCCCCAGCCCAAAUGCAGCAAGAGGGACCCGGAGGGCCUCAGAUGGCGGACGGGACGGGAACCGUCUUUCCGCGGCUUUCAGCUGUAAGAUCUGUGAUUCAGAUAAACAGACUCAAGCCUCAGAUAGGCCACACCCUUCA